ensembl:processed_transcript
AGACUGGCUCUGAGCACUACACGAUGAUGAAGGAUUAUUGUAGGUUAAUCUGCUUGCCUGCCAUCUGCCUGUUCCAAACAAAUUAAACCUGAAAGCAAAGCCACACUCACAAAUGUAGAUGAAGCUUUGAACAAUCACUAUCUGCAGAAGAGCAUUUCUUAACACACAACAAUCAAACCUUAAAGCAGAUGAGCUACAGCAGCAGCAGAAGAAGAGCACACUGUUGAUAUUCCUGACAUUAACAACAGCCAACUGAGGCUACAGUUCACACAGACUCAACAAAUUUGGACAAUCGAAAGCCAGCAAAGGUUGUGUGGUGUCUGCUGUGACGUUUGGAUAUCUGAUUUAGAGUUUGACCUGAACAACAUGGAAGCAUGAAUCCAUCCUGCCUCAUCAUAUCAUUGGUUCAGGCUGCUGCAGUUUAAU